rnacentral:rRNA from 1 species
UACGAAGGGGGGCUAGCGUUGCUCGGAAUCACUGGGCGUAAAGCGCACGUAGGCGGAUCUUUAAGUCAGGGGUGAAAUCCUGGAGCUCAACUCCAGAACUGCCUUUGAUACUGAGGAUCUUGAGUCCGGGAGAGGUGAGUGGAACUCCGAGUGUAGAGGUGAAAUUCGUAGAUAUUCGGAAGAACACCAGUGGCGAAGGCGGCUCACUGGCCCGGUACUGACGCUGAGGUGCGAAAGCGUGGGGAGCGAACAGG